rnacentral:rRNA from 1 species
UACAGAGACUGCAAGCGUUAUUCGGAUUCACUGGGCGUAAAGGGUGCGCAGGCGGCCAAGUGUGUCAGAUGUGAAAUCCCGAGGCUCAACCUCGGAACUGCGUCUGAAACUACUCGGCUAGAGUAUUGGAGAGGGUAACGGAAUUCACGGUGUAGCAGUGAAAUGCGUAGAUAUCGUGAGGAACACCAGAGGCGAAGGCGGUUACCUGGACAGAUACUGACGCUGAGGCGCGAGAGCGUGGGGAGCAAACAGG